GGAAUCAAUUGCAUUAUAAGGAAAUCAUUUAAAACUAUUUUAUGCAAUAGUUUUGAUGAGUGCUGUAAUGAAGCAGUUGCAGAAAUAUUAUUACCAUCAGCUAUUGAGGUUUUAGAAAUGUGGAUUCAACAUUGUUGGUGUACAUGGAACUUAUCAUCGGACCAGAAAUUACUUUCGAUUUUAUUCAAGUUGCUGUAUAUAACAAAGGAAGAAUCAUUUGUAAGCCAGAUACACAACUUAAUCAUUAUUUUAAUAGGCUUAUGUACCAAAAAAGAACAAGUAAUAAUACUUGAGUCUUUAAAAUCUCCUGAUAUUAAAAGUAAUGAAUUUCUGCAAAGACUACAAAGAAUAAAUAAAGACUUGAGCAAAUAAAAUUUAAA